rnacentral:rRNA from 1 species
GAUGAACGCUGGCGGCGUGCCCAAUACAUGCAAGUCGAGCGAACGGACGAGAAGCUUGCUUUUCUGAUGUUAGCGGCGGACGGGUGAGUAACACGUGGAUAACCUACCUAUAAGACUGGGAUAACUUCGGGAAACCGGAGCUAAUACCGGAUAAUAUUUUGAACCGCAUGGUUCAAAAGUGAAAGACGGUCUUGCUGUCACUUAUAGAUGGAUCCGCGCUGCAUUAGCUAGUUGGUAAGGUAACGGCUUACCAAGGCAACGAUACAUAGCCGACCUGAGAGGGUGAUCGGCCACACUGGAACUGAGACACGGUCCAGACUCCUACGGGAGGCAGCAGUAGGGAAUCUUCCGCAAUGGGCGAAAGCCUGACGGAGCAACGCCGCGUGAGUGAUGAAGGUCUUCGGAUCGUAAAACUCUGUUAUUAGGGAAGAACAUAUGUGUAAGUAACUGUGCACAUCUUGACGGUACCUAAUCAGAAAGCCACGGCUAACUACGUG